AGAACGAACGCUGGCGGCAUGCCUAACACAUGCAAGUCGAACGAGACCUUCGGGUCUAGUGGCGCACGGGUGCGUAACGCGUGGGAAUCUGCCCUUGGGUUCGGGAUAACAGUUGGAAACGACUGCUAAUACCGGAUGAUGACUUCGGUCCAAAGAUUUAUUGCCCAGGGAUGAGCCCGCGUAGGAUUAGCUAGUUGGUGAGGUAAAGGCUCACCAAGGCGACGAUCCUUAGCUGGUCUGAGAGGAUGAUCAGCCACACUGGGACUGAGACACGGCCCAGACUCCUACGGGAGCAGCAGUGGGAAUAUGGACAUGGCGAAAGCCUGAUCCAGCAAUGCCGCGUGAGUGAUGAAGGCCUUAAGGGUUGUAAAGUCCGUACUUUUUAACCCGGGAAGAUAAAUGACUGGUACCGGAGAAGUAACGACCCCGGCUAACCUCCGGACGCCGAAGCCGAGCCCGC
rnacentral:rRNA from 1 species